CAGAAGCUUGGUCCUAGCUUUAUUAACAGCUCUAGCUAAACUUACACAUGCAAGUAUCCGCCCCCCCGUGAAAAUGCCCAAAUAAAACCCCUAACGGGGAAAAAGGAGCUGGUAUCAGGCACACAUACUUUAGCCCACGACACCUUGCAUAGCCACACCCCCAAGGGUAAUCAGCAGUGACAAAUAUUAAGCCAUAAGUGUAAACUUGACUUAGUUACACGCUAAGAGGGCCGGUAAAUCUCGUGCCAGCCACCGCGGUUAUACGAGAGGCCCAAGUUGUUAAUCAUCGGCGUAAAGGGUGGUUAAAAUAAAAUUUUACUAAAGUCGAACGCCUACAGGACCGUUAUACGUAUUCCGAAGGUAUGAAGAUCAAUUACGAAAGUGGCUUUAUUACAUUUGACCCCACGAAAGCUAAGGUACAAACUGGGAUUAGAUACCCCACUAUGCUUAGCCGUAAACACUGGUAGCUGACAACAAACACUGCCCGCCUGGACACUACGAGCACCAGCUUAAAAUCCAAAGGACUUGGCGGUGCUUCAGAUCCACCUAGAGGAGCCUGUCCUAGAACCGAUAGUCCCCGUUCAACCUCACCUUUCCUUGUUAAUACCCGCCUAUAUACCGCCGUCGCCAGCUUUCCCCGUGAGGGUUAAAUAGUUAGCACAAUUGGUCCUAGCCCAGUACGUCAGGUCGAGGUGUAGCUUAUGGAAAGGGAUGAGAUGGGCUACAUUGUUUUAAUGCAAACAAAUACGAAAGAUUACUCUGAAAUGUGUGUCGGAAGGAGGAUUUAGAAGUAAGUAGAAAAUAGAGCGUUCUACUGAACCCGGCCCUGAAGCGUGUACACACCGCCCGUCGCUCCCCCCGAGCUUUAUUUAUCAACUAUAAUUAAUACACUAUCUUGUGCUAAGGGGGGAUAAGUCGUAACAUGGUAAGUGUACCGGAAGGUGCACUUGGCAUAAAC
rnacentral:ncRNA from 1 species